rnacentral:ncRNA from 1 species
CGACAAAGGCAAACCCAGUGAAAGCUGGAGACGCAAAGUUACCGAUCUAAGGGGAAGCCUAUGAUAGCGGGACUGCCAA